UACGUAGGGGCAAGCGUUGUCCGGAAUCAUUGGGCGUAAAGAGCGUGUAGGCGGCCAGAAAAGUCCGCUGUGAAAACUCGAGGCUCAACCUCGAGAUGUCGGCGGAAACCACUUGGCUAGAGUCCGGAAGAGGAGAGUGGAAUUCCCGGUGUAGCGGUGAAAUGCGCAGAUAUCGGGAAGAACACCUAUGGCGAAGGCAGCUCUCUGGGACGGUACUGACGCUGAGACGCGAAGCGUGGGAGCGAACAGG
rnacentral:rRNA from 1 species